AUUGAUUUUAUGCUUGCAUAAAUGAUUUUUGGAUUCGGAGCGAGUGGCGAACUGGUGAGUAACACGUGGGUAACCUGCCCCGAAGCGGGGGAUAACAUUUGGAAACAAGUGCUAAUACCGCAUAAUUAGUUGGAACCGCAUGGUUCCAACUUGAAAGAUGGCUCUGCUAUCACUUUGGGAUGGACCCGCGCCGUAUUAGUUAGUUGGUGAGAUAAAAGCCCACCAAGACGAUGAUACGUAGCCGACCUGAGAGGGUAACCGGCCACAUUGGGACUGAGACACGGCCCAGACUCCUACGGGAGGCAGCAGUAGGGAAUCUUCCACAAUGGACGAAAGUCUGAUGGAGCAACGCCGCGUGAGUGAUGAAGGUUUUCGGAUCGUAAAACUCUGUUGUUAAAGAAGAACAAGUGUUAGAGUAACUGUUAACACUUUGACGGUAUUUAACCAGAAAGCCACGGCUAACUACGUGCCAGCAGCCGCGGUAAUACGUAGGUGGCAAGCGUUGUCCGGAUUUAUUGGGCGUAAAGCGAGCGCAGGCGGUUUUGUAAGUCUGCUGUGAAAGCCCUCAGCUCAACUGAGGAAGUGCAGUGGAAGCUACAAAACUUGAGUACAGAAGAGGAAAGUGGAACUCCAUGUGUAGCGGUGAAAUGCGUAGAUAUAUGGAAGAACACCAGUGGCGAAGGCGGCCUUCUGGUCUGUUACUGACGCUGAGGCUCGAAAGCAUGGGUAGCGAACAGGAUUAGAUACCCUGGUAGUCCAUGCCGUAAACGAUGAAUACUAGGUGUUGGAGGGUUUCCGCCCUUCAGUGCCGCAGCUAACGCAUUAAGUAUUCCGCCUGGGGAGUACGACCGCAAGGUUGAAACUCAAAGGAAUUGACGGGGGCCCGCACAAGUGGUGGAGCAUGUGGUUUAAUUCGAUGCUACGCGAAGAACCUUACCAGCUCUUGACAUCUUCUGCCAACCCAAGAGAUUGGGCGUUCCCUUCGGGGACAGAAUGACAGGUGGUGCAUGGUUGUCGUCAGCUCGUGUCGUGAGAUGUUGGGUUAAGUCCCGCAACGAGCGCAACCCUCAUUAUUAGUUGCCAGCAUUUAGUUGGGCACUCUAGUGAGACUGCCGGUGAUAAA
rnacentral:rRNA from 1 species